GAAGCAAAAUUACACCAUGAGUUCCUAUUAACGUCAGCCUCUUUUGUACUCAUAAUGUGGCUUCGGAUGUUUGAUGGGCGUUGCUUCAGUGCGUACGGCUCAUGGUAGAUUAAUUAUUAGAAAGAUGUAUCUCCAGCUGUUGAUAUUAGAGGGGGAAGCCUUUCUCUUUCACCUCGCCUUUUUAAACACCUGAUACAGUUGGUCAUGAUUCGUUCUACAUUUUAA
ensembl:snoRNA H/ACA box small nucleolar RNA (snoRNA); guides pseudouridylation of small subunit (SSU) rRNA at position U999